rnacentral:rRNA from 1 species
AUUGAACGCUGGCGGCGUGCUUAACACAUGCAAGUCGAUCGGUAACAGGUGUAGCAAUACAUGCUGACGAGAGGCGGACGGGUGAGUAAUGCUUGGGAAUCUGCCUAUUAGUGGGGGACAACCCGGGGAAACUCGGGCUAAUACCGCAUACGCUCUACGGAGGAAAGCCGGGGACCGCAAGGCCUGGCGCUAAUAGAUGAGCCCAAGUCGGAUUAGCUAGUUGGUAGGGUAACGGCCUACCAAGGCGACAAUCCGUAGCUGGUCUGAGAGGACGACCAGCCACACCGGAACUGAGACACGGUCCGGACUCCUACGGGAGGCAGCAGUGGGGAAUAUUGGACAAGUGGGGGCAACCCUGAUCCAGCGACGCCGCGUGGGUGAAGAAGGCCUGCGGGUUGUAAAGCCCUUUCGGUGGGGAAGAAAAGUCUCGACCUAAUACGUCGGGACCUUGACGUAACCCACUAAAGAAGCACCGGCUAACUCUGUGCCAGCCGCCGCUGU